AGUGUCAGUAGGAUGUACUUCCUCUAUGUUCUGGGUUGUGGCUGAACCAACUUUACUUGGUCAAGAUCAUAUUUUGCAUUCUGAUGAAGCAUCUCUGGGAACUGGCUGUCCUGUAACCAAUGUAACUGCGAAGGGAUAUGAGUUUAAUUACCCUGCCACUCAGUGUGGGAUUCAGAAAGAGGCCAAAAUCAACAGCCGAUUUUGAUACCAUCAGGACACCUAAAACCUUAUCAUGAGCCAGAUGCCAAAGAAGAGAUUCCAGGAGGUUCCCGAGGACCUCCCGGUUGCAGCCAUGUUGAGACUGAUGCUGAGGAGGACCCCAGCUGCCAUGAGCAACGCCGUCAAACACAGCCACCCACCUGGGCACAGAUCAAGAAGCUGUACAGAUGACAGAAGAAAACCUGAGGAAAGCAGGACAACCAGUCACGAUGAAUAAUUUAAUGCUAUUCAAGUACACUGCACCCAGUUUUGGUUCUUUGCCAGGAUUAAACCCACGAUAUUUUACAAUUUGUAUGUGAACCCCGAUGAAGUGUUUCUAGGAGAUGGCUGCCAUGUAACCCAUGUUUUGCCAAAUGUCUACUAUGAGUUUUUCUACCAUCCUCAUGACUGUGGUAUUGUAACUCAACCUCUCCAGGAAGUUCUUCUGCUUAAAACUAAAAUCAGGUAUAUCUCAAGAGACUCUACUGUCCGAUCUGAAAUGCCUCUGUCGUGUGUCGUCCACAAUCAGCAUCAUCUUUUAAAUGCAGUUGAAAUGAGAGAUGGGGAAACUGACAAUGUUAAUGAAUGGGAGAUAGAGGUGAGGAUACACAUUGCGAAUGAAGACAUG
rnacentral:lncRNA from 1 species